rnacentral:rRNA from 1 species
UACGUAGGGCGCAAGCGUUAUCCGGAAUUAUUGGGCGUAAAGAGCUCGUAGGCGGUUUGUCGCGUCUGCCGUGAAAGUCCGGGGCUCAACUCCGGAUCUGCGGUGGGUACGGGCAGACUAGAGUGAUGUAGGGGAGACUGGAAUUCCUGGUGUAGCGGUGAAAUGCGCAGAUAUCAGGAGGAACACCUGAGGUGAAGACGGGUUGCUGGGCUGACACUGACGCUGAGGCGCGAAGCCAGGGAGCAAACGGG